rnacentral:rRNA from 1 species
CGACGUGGACAACCUGCCGCAUGCAGGGGGAUACCGGCUGGAAACAGCCGCUAAUACCGCAUAUGCGCACGGCGCCGCAUGGCGCAGUGCGGAAAGGGAGCAAUCCCGGCAUGCGAUGGGUCCGCGUCCGAUUAGCUUGUUGGCGGGGCAGCGGCCCACCAAGGCGACGAUCGGUAGCCGGCCUGAGAGGGCGGACGGCCACAUUGGGACUGAGACACGGCCCAGACUCCUACGGAAGGCAGCAG